UAGCCUAGUGGUUAAGGCUAUGGAUUGCCAAUCCGGAGACGGCGGGGUCGAUUCCCGU
rnacentral:tRNA from 1 species